CAAGCAUACAUACAGAGGUGCCCAGCACGUGCCCUCCAGCAGCAUUCUCGUCACCAAGCAUACAUACAGAGGUACCCAGCACGUGCCCUCCAGCAGCAUUCUCGUCACCAAGCAUACAUACAGAGGUGCCCAGCACGUGCCCUCCAGCAGCAUUUUCGUCACCAAGCAGACAUACAG